rnacentral:rRNA from 1 species
AGGAACUACGAGCCAAGCUUAAAACCCAAAGGACUUGACGGUACCCCAUAUCCCCCUAGAGGAGCCUGUCCUAUAAUCGAUAACCCCCGUUUAACCUCACCAUUUCUAGCAAUUCAGCCUGUAUACCUCCGUCGUCAGCUUACCACGUGAGCGCUAGUGAGCUCAAUGUUCUUCCAACUAAACGUCAGGUCAAGGUGCAACACAUGAAAUGGGAAGAGAUGGGCUACACUUUCUACAUAGACUAUACGGAAAACUCUAUGAAAUCUAGUCAGAAG